rnacentral:rRNA from 1 species
AUUAGCUAGUUGGUGAGGUAACGGCUCACCAAGGCGACGAUGUCUAGGGGUUCUGAGAGGAUUCACCCCCACACUGGUACUGAGACACGGACCAGACUCCUACGGGAGGCAGCAGUAAGGAAUAUUGGGCAAUGGACGCAAGUCUGACCCAGCCAUGCCGCGUGCAGGAUGACAGCCCUACGGGUUGUAAACGGCUAACUCCGUGCCAGCAGCCGCGGUAAUACGGAGGAUGCAAGCGUUAUCCGGAUUCAUUGGGUUUAAAGGGUGCGCAGGCGGAACGAUAAGUCAGUGGUGAAAUCCUACAGCUUAACUGUAGAACUGCCAUUGAUACUGUCGCUCUUGAGUACACUUGAAGUGGGCGGAAUGUGUCAUGUAGCGGUGAAAUGCUUAGAUAUGACACAGAACACCGAUCGCGAAGGCAGCUCACUAAAGUGAAACUGACGCUCAUGCACGAAAGCGUGGGGAUCAAACAGGAUUAGAUACCCUGGUAGUCCACGCUGUAAACGAUGAUUACUCGAUGUUGGCGAUACACUGUCAGCGUCUAAGCGAAAGCAUUAAGUAAUCCACCUGGGGAGUACGGCCGCAAG